CCAAGAAGAGGCAGCAUGCACACUCAAAUUCAUCCAGAGGCGCUUUGUUGGAAUAAACCCUGAAAGAGGCACCAAGGCUGGACGGGGCAAAGUCUUAUCAAAGAAAACUGGCAAAGUCACCAACAAAAAGACAACAACAGUCAAUCCACAUGUAUCCACUCUGCUGAGGAGACUCAUGGACUUUGAGUGGGACUUAAUUUAAAAUGGGUCGCAGGGGGACUGGAGCCUAUCCCAGCAUACAUUGGGCGAAAGGCAGGAAUACACCCUGGACAGGUCGCCAGUCCAUCGCAGGGCACACACACCAUUCACUCACACACUCAUACCUAUGGGCAAUUUACACUCUCCAAUCAGCCUAACCUGCAUGUAUUUGGACUGUGGGAGGAAACCGGAGUACCCGGAGGAAACCCACGCAGACACGGGGAGAACAUGCAAACUCCACACAGAGAGGCCCCGACCGACGGGGAUUCGA